rnacentral:lncRNA from 1 species
ACUUUUUUGGCCUAUUUGGUUGAUUAGUCUUAAUGUGGUUGCUUGGUGAUUUGAGCUAAUCCAUGCCCUUAGGGUUAGUCACAAUAGUUAUGACUAAUUAGAACUAAAAAGAUCUAAAUUAAAAAUCUUCUCAUUAAUAUUAAGUCGUAGGGUCUUCCACCAUUGUAGAGUGCCAUGCCCUCUCUAAUGUUGAUUAUUUUUGACUGGAUAUAGUAGUUCAGUUGCAUCAGGAGAGAAGC